rnacentral:rRNA from 1 species
UUUCCGGUUGAUCCUGCCGGACCCCACUGCUAUCGGGGUGGGACUAAAACAUGCAAGUCGAGCGCCUCCAAGCUAUGGUGAAGGCGCGGCAAACGGCUCAGUAACACGUGGCCAACCUACCCUUGGGACGGAGACAACCCCGGGAAACUGGGGCUAAUCCCCGAUAGGUGAGGAAUCCUGGAAUGGACCCUCGCCCAAAAGACGUUGAGUCCAUGCUAUUCAGCAUCGCCCAAGGAUGGAGCCGCGACCGAUCAGGUAGUUGGUGAGGCAACGGCUCACCAAGCCUAUAACCGGUACGGGCCGUGAGAGCGGGAGCCCGGAGAUGGGCACUGAGACAAGGGCCCAGGCCCUACGGGGCGCAGCAGUUGCGAAAACUCCGCAAUGCGCGAAAGCGUGACGGGGCUACCCCGAGUGCCGCCCGUUGAGGGCGGCUUUUCCACGGUGUAAGGAGCCGUGGGAAUAAGGAGAGGGCAAGACUGGUGUCAGCCGCCGCGGUAAUACCAGCUCUCCGAGUGGUGGGGACGAUUAUUGGGCUUAAAGCGUUCGUAGCCGGCUUAACAAGUCUUCCGUUAAAUCCAACGAUCUAAUCGUUGGGCUGCGGGAGAUACUGUUGGGCUAGGAGGCGGGAGAAGCCGACGGUAUCCUCGGGGUAGGGGUGAAAUCCUGUAAUCCCGGGAGGACCACCAGUGGCGAAGGCGGUCGGCUAGAACGCGCUCGACGGUGAGGGACGAAAGCUGGGGGAGCGAACCGGAUUAGAAACCCGGGUAGUCCCGGCUGUAAACGAUGCGGGCUAGGUGUUGGGGUGGCCACGAGCCACUUCAGUGCCGCAUGGAAGCAAUUAAGCCCGCCGCCUGGGGAGUACGGCCGCAAGGCUGAAACUUAAAGGAAUUGGCGGGGGAGCACCACAAGGCGUGAAGCUUGCGGUUUAAUUGGAGUCAACGCCGGA